rnacentral:rRNA from 1 species
UCGGACGGGUCAGUAACGCGUGAGGGAGGAAGGCUCUUGGGUUGUAAACCUCUUUUCUCAGGGAAGAAGUUCUGACGGUACCUGAGGAAUAAGCAUCGGCUAACUCCGUGCCAGCAGCCGCGGUAAUACGGAGGAUGCAAGCGUUAUCCGGAAUUAUUGGGCGUAAAGCGUCCGCAGGUGGCAUUUCCAGUCUGCUGUCAAAGACCAAGGCUCAACCUUGGGCAGGCAGUGGAAACUGAAAAGCUAGAGUGCGGUAGGGGUAGGGGGAAUUCCCAGUGUAGCGGUGAAAUGCGUAGAGAUUGGGAAGAACACCGGUGGCGAAAGCGCCCUACUAGGCCGCAACUGACACUUCAAGGGAACGAAAAGUUAGUUGU